CUCUUUCUAAAUCUCCUUAGAGUGCACUGCUUCAAGUAGCCACUCAUCCCUCCCGUCCAUAUGGCCAGCUGAACCGCAGUGACAGAAAUCAAGAGCAUGGAACAAUUCAGGGACAGAUGUUUCCGAUCCAGGAGGAGACAGGGCCUGAAAUGAAGGGAGAGGGAGCAGCACUUGGACAAAGGGAGAAAGCAAGGCUGCAAUACAUCAGUCCUGACCCACAGUCCCUCCGGCUGACUGCAAGGAGUUUAUGGUUCCAUUACCGAGGAGUUGAGGCACUGAAAGGAAUCCAACAAGGACCCGGAGCUCUCAAAGCCCUGGCAGAUAUUUUGGUCACUGUGAUGAGAACCUAACAGACCUUGGCACUAUCUCAUGAUGCCAGACAGAAGUGCAAGUCAGAGCUCCCAGGAGCCAGGAGAUCGUGACAGUGAACAGUGUCCACUCAACAGUUGCUUAGCCAUGAAGUCCAGCAGUAAAAUUUUGUUGGAGGAGCGGAGGUUCUUGGGGCAGGUGGAUGUAUACUUCCAUGUCACUUGUAUUGUGUGCGUGUGCAUGGGCCCAGGAGGAUGCACUUUUGCCAUUCCUUGGAAGAGCUUAAAAAUAUCCAGGUUCAUAUGCUGAAACCUGACCACAGAUGUGAUGGUGUUGAGAUGUGGGGCCUGGGGAGGUGAGCAGAUCAUGAAGGCAGAGCCCGCACAAGGGGCCCCACGAGCUCAGCUGUCACUGCCCGUGAGAGGACACAGGGAGAAGGAACCGUCCGUGCGCCAGGGCUGGGAAACUGAAUCCGCCAGCACCUUCAUCUUGGACUUUCUAGCCUCCGUAGCUGUAAGAAAUAAAUUUCUGCUUGUAAACUAUAGAGUUUAUGGAAUUUUGUGAUUGCAGCCAAAUGGACUAAGACAGAAAGUGAGAAAAAUCGAUCCAGAUAAAGGGAGUUUACAGCAGUUUGUUUGGAAAUGCUGUGUGGAAGGCUGAAAUUUUAAGUAGGGCUUUAAAAGAGAGGGAUUUAGACAAACAUGUUUUUUUGGCAAAGAAUAGCGAGUUCGAUUGUGGAGAAAAGAGUAGUGGAAGUCAGGCUGGAAAACGACAGAUGAGCCAGUUUUCCCCAGUCCUAAAGGGGGAUUCAAAGGUCUGACCCAGAGGUCCACGGCUUAGGUCCAGACCAAGGAAGAACAGGGAGAAGAUGAGGGAAAGCCUUUUGAAAAUCCUGGGGCUCAGGUGGCCAGGACACCACCCCCCCAUAUUUGGAAGAGAAUAUGAACUAAAAAUAGGUUGAACAACACUUCUCUAGUGUGUCCACAGAUAGGCCAGCCAGUCUACAGAAGGCACAGCACAGGCACGGAAUGCCAAGCCCUGCAGGGAAGAAAGUCAGACACCGCCAUUCACCCAGUUACCGCCCUGCCUGUUUUCCCCUUGGAGAAGGUCUCAUUAGAACAAUAUUAUAAGCCAUCUUCAGUUCCCAGGACAGCACCAGCACACAGCUCCAUGCACAGCCUCGGUACCAGACGGCCUCCUCCUCUCAUUUCUGCAAUGAAGACUUGGCAUGAAUUUUGAUAUCAUCUCUCUUGAGAAACUAUCCACAAAUCUCCAGCAACCCUGGGCCCAGUCCACGUCAGCUGCUCUCUCCAGUGAUCCCCACAGCACUGUGUUUUCUUAGAGCAUAUUUCUGAACUAUAAGAUGGAGAACAGAGGCAGAGCCUCUUAUUUCAAUUCUUCAAGUGUCUGCAGAGUCUAUUACACGAUAGGUGUAAAAGGUGUUCAGAUGUCUGUGAGUACUUAAGGUGGUGAGUCAGCAAAGCAAAACAAUACCUAACAAACAAAUAAUCCGAGUGUUGGGUUUAAUUCUUAAAGAAAACUAGUUUAAUUAAACAUGGAUAAAAUCAUACAGGGAAAAUUGUUAUACCAACUUAAACAGGACACUGAGACAUUAAACAAACAAGAAUUGUAUAGCCCUGAAAUUUUACUUUUUAGUGUCUUAGUUCACAUUAAAUACAAGGUCUUCCUACUAACAUGUGUAGACUUCUGUCACUGUAACAGGACAGUUUUUGGUGUUAUAAUUUUAAAAUGCUGAGAGGAAGGGGAGGAAAAAGAACGUCGAAGGAGAGCAAAAGGAGAGAAGAAUGAACACUGAAAACCUCCCUUGGAGGCUGGGCAAGUCUGAAGCCAUGGACGAGGGGACGUGGAGGGAAGGUGGGUGCCCUGUGCGCUCCAGCGGGGAAGUGACUAUGGCCCUUGCACAGCAGAGCAGACGAGCCAAGGGAGAGGAGCAGGCCCAGCAACCAGCAGCCACACCGUUGGGAGGAGAGCCCUCAGGUGAGGCACUGAGCAUCCUCACCUGGCCAGACCUUCCCAGGUGGGAGGACAGAGCAGCAUUUGCCCUCUGGAGGAGGAAGGCAGGUUGGGAAGGCUUGAAGCAGAGGGCUACUUCUAGAUUUGAUGCCUGUGGUCCUCUUCUAGACUGGCACUGUGUGAGAUCCGCUUAGUGUUCAGCACCAAUUUGUUUUUGUUUUCUUUGGUAAAAGUAAUUAAUUGUAAAAAUCAACAGAGAAUAAUGUGAUAAUUCAAUACAUACGUAGAGUGCGUAAUGAACAAAGCAGGGUAUUUAACAUUUCCGUCUCCUCAAAUAUUUUUUAAAAGAUUAUUAAUACUAAAGAAUCAUACAUAUUUAAGGGGCUUGGGGUGAUAUUUCAAUACAUGUACAUAAUGUGUACUGAUCAAAUCAGGGUAAUUAACAUUUCCGUCUCCUCAUUAUCUUGUUUGGAGCCUCUUUUAGUUAUUCAUAAGAUACAUAAUAGUGUACCAUGAGGUAGAGUAACUCCUCCUCUGUAGAAGACCAGAAUUCACCACUUCUAUGGAACUGGUGUAAGUUCCCUGAUCCAACCUCCCACACCCUCCUGCCCCUCAACGCUUCCCAGCAUUCAGUAAUUGCCAUUAUAUAUUCCACAAUCAACUUUUAAAAACAUCUACAUGAAAGAAAACUCGUGGUAAUUUAAGAAGUGUCUCACUUCUUUCACUUAACAUAAUGUCUUCCAGGUUUAUCCAUUUUGCUGUAAAUGAUAGGAUAUUGUUAUUUUUUAAAUAUUUAUUUUUUAGUUGUAGUUG